rnacentral:rRNA from 1 species
CUGAUCAGCAUGCCGCGUGUGUGAGAGGCCCUUGGGUUGUAAAGCACUUUCAGCAGGGAGGAAAGCAUUAUGGUUAAUACCCAUGAUAGUGACGUUACCUGCAGAAGAAGCACCGGCUAACUCCGUGCCAGCAGCCGCGGUAAUACGGAGGGUGCGAGCGUUAUUCGGAAUUACUGGGCGUAAAGCGCACGCAGGCGGCUACUUAAGUCAGAUGUGAAAGCCCCGGGCUUAACCUGGGAACUGCAUUUGAAACUGGGUGGCUAGAGUAUGAAAGAGGAAAGCGGAAUUUCCAGUGUAGCAGUGAAAUGCGUAGAUAUUGGAAGGAACACCGAUGGCGAAGGCAGCUUUCUGGGUCGAUACUGACGCUCAUGUGCGAAAGCGUGGGGAGCAAACA